CAAUAGCGUAUAUUUAAGUUGUUGCAGUUAAAAAGCUCGUAGUUGGAUUUCGGAUGGGACUUGCCGGUCCGUCGUUUCGAUGUGCACUGGCCAGUCCUAUCUUGUUGUCGGGGACUAGCUCCUGGGCUUCACUGUCCGGGACUAGGAGCUGACGAGGUUACUUUGAGUAAAUUAGAGUGUUCAAAGCAAGCCUACGCUCUGAAUACAUUAGCAUGGAAUAACACGAUAGGACUCUGGCUUAUCUUGUUGGUCUGUGAGACCAGAGUAAUGAUUAAGAGGGACAGUCGGGGGCAUUCGUAUUUCAUUGUCAGAGGUGAAAUUCUUGGAUUUAUGAAAGACGAACUUCUGCGAAAGCGUUUGUCAAGGAUGUUUUCAUUAA
rnacentral:rRNA from 1 species